AGAGUUUGAUCGUGGCUCAGAAUGAACGCUGGCGGCGUGCUUAACACAUGCAAGUCGAACGAUGAAACCUAGCUUGCUAGGUGGAUUAGUGGCGCACGGGUGAGUAAUAUAUAGAUAAUGUGCCUCUUAGUCUGGGAUAGCCAUUGGAAACGAUGAUUAAUACUAGAUACUCCUUCUAACUAUAAUGUUAGUUGGGAAAGUUUUUCGCUAAGAGAUCAGUCUAUAUCCCAUCAGCUUGUUGGUAGUGUAAGAGACUACCAAGGCUAUGACGGGUAGCGGGUUUGAGAGGAUGAUCCGCCACACUGGUACUGAGACACGGACCAGACUCCUACGGGAGGCAGCAGUGAGGAAUAUUGCACAAUGGAGGAAACUCUGAUGCAGCAACGCCGCGUGGAGGAUGACGCAUUUCGGUGUGUAAACUCCUUUUAUAUGUCAAGAAAAUGACGGUAGCAUAUGAAUAAGCACCGGCUAACUCCGUGCCAGCAGCCGCGGUAAUACGGAGGGCGCAAGCGUUACUCGGAAUCACUGGGCGUAAAGAGCGUGUAGGCGGGUUAAUAAGUUGGAAGUGAAAUCCUAUGGCUCAACCAUAGAACUGCUUUCAAAACUGUUGACCUAGAAUAUGGGAGAGGUAGAUGGAAUUUCUGGUGUAGGGGUAAAAUCCGUAGAGAUCAGAAGGAAUACCGAUUGCGAAGGCGAUCUACUGGAACAUUAUUGACGCUGAGACGCGAAAGCGUGGGGAGCAAACAGGAUUAGAUACCCUGGUAGUCCACGCCCUAAACGAUGCACACUAGUUGUUGCCUUGCUCGACAAGGCAGUAAUGCAGUUAACACAUUAAGUGUGCCGCCUGGGGAGUACGGUCGCAAGAUUAAAACUCAAAGGAAUAGACGGGGACCCGCACAAGCGGUGGAGCAUGUGGUUUAAUUCGACUAUACGCGAAGAACCUUACCUGGACUUGACAUAGAAAGAAUAACGCAGAGAUGUGAUAGUGCUAGCUUGCUAGAACUUUCAUACAGGUGCUGCACGGCUGUCGUCAGCUCGUGUCGUGAGAUGUUGGGUUAAGUCCCGCAACGAGCGCAACCCUCGUGUUUAGUUACUAACAGUUCGGCUGAGGACUCUAAACAGACUGCCUGGGUAACCAGGAGGAAGGUGAGGACGACGUCAAGUCAUCAUGGCCCUUAUGUCCAGGGCUACACACGUGCUACAAUGGGGCAUACAAAGAGCAGCGAUACCGUGAGGUGGAGCAAAUCUCAUAAAAUAUCUCCCAGUUCGGAUUGAAGUCUGCAACUCGACUUCAUGAAGUUGGAAUCGCUAGUAAUCGUAGAUCAGCAAUGCUACGGUGAAUACGUUCCCGGGUCUUGUACUCACCGCCCGUCACACCAUGGGAAUUGAAUUCAUUCGAAGCGGGGAUGCUAAGAUAGCUACCUUCCACAGUGGAAUUAGCGACUAGGGUGAAGUCGUAACAAGGUAACC
rnacentral:rRNA from 1 species